UACAGAGGUCUCAAGCGUUGUUCGGAUUCAUUGGGCGUAAAGGGUGCGUAGGUGGCGCCGUAAGUCAGGUGUGAAAUCUCGGAGCUUAACUCCGAAAUUGCAUUCGAUACUGCUGUGCUCGAGGACUGGAGAGGAGACUGGAAUUCAUGGUGUAGCAGUGAAAUGCGUAGAGAUCAUGAGGAAGACCAGUGGCGAAGGCGGGUCUCUGGACAGUUCCUGACACUGAGGCACGAAGGCCAGGGGAGCAAACGGG
rnacentral:rRNA from 1 species